rnacentral:lncRNA from 1 species
AAAGAAAAACAGAGGUAAAUUAAAAUAUCAACUGAAUUCAAUGCAAUACAGGAUAAAUACCAAGAAUAGUUCUGAACCAACUAAACUCAUAACAUACAUCUGCAGACAUUUACUAUAAGUUAUUUAGAUAUUCAAGAAAGAAACAAUGACAAAAAUUCUAAAAUUACACACUUCAAAUAUAGCUUGCGACUAGUCAACAAUUUAUCUCAUCUCAAAUCCUAAGAAAGACAAAUGAAGUGUUGAUAGUCAGAACAACUAAUAGGGGGAGUAUAGGUGGACGGUAGUUUUUUUUACAGAAUAAAGGGGUAAUUUGUUUUUACUGUGUUGCUUGUUUUAAGCAUUAGGAGAAUCCUCACUUCCUGUUCAUGACAAGUACAUUGUCUUUCUUAAUGUCAUACUAACUAAAAAACUAAGAAAAAAGAGCAACAAAGAAUGCCUCAUUGGCCUUUACUGGUCAUAGAUUGAGAAAUGCACACAGUAUUAAAGACAUGGCAGGAAUCAAUCAAAUAGUGCUCUGUGAUCAAUCAAAUAGUUGCACAACACAGAAGUGAAAUAUGUACCCUUCUUACAAAAAUAUAAGAAACAUUAUAGUACCAAAUAUUAACUACAUCAGCAAUUGGGUUUAGAAAAAGAAAAAUAAAUGCUUGAACUGACUAUUAAAUGAAUGGGGAUUUUCUCAACCUAUUUAUAACUUAAUGGUAAGCACAUGAACUCACUCAGACUUUUAUUGGUGAGCCCCGCCUUGUUUGUAGUUGCAUAUGCAGUAAAUGCCAAACAAUAAACAAGCGACCAAAUCAUUCAAAUGCAUUAUCUCAACUCUCUGUUUCAAAUUUAAAUUUACCUCAUUUUCUAGGAUAUUCCUGUCAAUGCUUUUAAUCUGUCACUUAAAUGAAUGAUUAAUGUAAAUGAAGCAACAAUGUUACAUUUAUGAGGCAAGCAAACAGUGGCUGCAGUAACUUCCUCCA